GCGGGUGUAGCUCAAUGGUAGAGUUCUGGCCUUCCAAGCCAGCUGUGAGGGUUCGAUCCC
rfam:Peptostreptococcus anaerobius CAG:621 genomic scaffold, scf8